rnacentral:miRNA from 1 species
GCUUAAUAAGAGAGGAGGCGCGGUGAGGGGAGGAAGGGAUCAGGUCUGCGACGAACGCAGCGAAGCUCCGUCCCCGCAGCUGUUCUUUGUUCUUCCG